AUUUGAGAAGUUCUCAUCCAAUCUAGUGGUCACCAAAAACUGUAACAGUUAAAAAUUUAGGGAAGACUGAAGCAGGUAGAAAUUAGUUUCUCUCUACAAGGAGUAUUAUAUUUUUUAGAGGUUUAUUAAAAGUUAAGGUUUAAAGAAAAUACAGGAUAAGAAAACAUGUGUCCAGGCCACAGAGAGGCCUAGACACAACCUCACCUACAUUAUGGAAAGAGCCACAUCUGCCCCAAAACAGAAGUCCAAAAGAGAGUCAAAAACCUUUGCAAUCAGCUUAAAUACCUUCUCGAUCUCGGUCCAGAGAAUGGAACUGAUUCUGUAAUGAACUCUCAGAUGAGGAAACCAUUUCUGCCAGUUGAUAAGGUUCCAAUGGACCUUCUCCAAUCCUUUUUUGAAUUACCUACCUCUCAGAAACUUUGGGAUUAGAUAGUUUUAUUAAGAGGCACUGUGUUAAGCAAUGGGAAUGCAAAUAAGACAACGAAAGUCAGUCCCUGAGCUUAAGGACUUUAUAAUAAAUGAGGAAGCUGAUAAAAAUAAAGAUGCUGAAAAAUUAACUGAGGUGGGACAUGAUAUUUGAUGGAGUUAGACCAAGUAGAGCUGAUGAUGAAAAUGGAGUCCUUUCUGGAAAGUUCUAUACCCUUUAUAAAGGAAGACUUGGAUGAUGAAACUGAGGCUGAGGUAACUUGCUCAAAGGCACACAAUGAUAUUCUGCAGUACCUAAUGAUGU
rnacentral:lncRNA from 1 species